rnacentral:lncRNA from 1 species
GGAUCCCUCCUGAAUGUGUUGUGGCCAUGGAAGUAAGGCCAGUGGCUACGAGGGACAGUCUUCAUCUUGGGAGAUCCCUAGAGAGGGCAGGGAGCCCCUUGACAUGUGGAAUGUGAUCUCUGUUGGGUGCUGGUGGAUCCCACAGGUGGUCUGGCAUGGAAGAAGGCCAGAGGCUGCGAUGGAUCAUCUUUGUCUUGGGAGAUUCCUGGAGAUGGUGGGGAGCCCCUGGGCACGUGCAGCAUAUGUGGCGUGGGCUUCUUCAGGUGCUGGUGGAUCCCUCAGGAUGCUUUUCAAGGUUUUUCUAUGAGUUCUGUUAAAGAGUCUGAAAAUGGAGCGUAGAAGACAUGCUUCGAUUUCCAGGAUGGUUGUGUUUUCCAGAGAGGCGGAGUUCAUUGUGGAACCAGCACAGAUUUUCAUACGAAAGUUAUUUCUUUUUAACCUCAAAAAGUGACAGAAUGGAGUGUAUCAUGAAAAAGUCUGACAUCAAAACCUCAAAAUGUGAUAUUGAUUGGGUGAGAUAGAAUUCCAUGGAAUUUCAUUGCCAAACCAGUGAAGUGCUAAUUUUGACAUUUGUACCAGCUAACGUAGCUGUGAAGAAACACACCAAUACACUUCUAAGGACAGCAUAGACCAAGAUCUAGGUUUCAUAUGGAUGAAUUUAUUCUUCCCUUUGAGGCAAGACAAGAAGGAAAGAAAGUAUUGGGAAUAAUGCUGCCCUCCCAUCCUCAAGGGCCAGUGGGAACUCUAAUAUUGAUUGGUUUUCACAGAAUUCCAUGGACUUUAACUGCUGAACCAAUGAUGCACUGAUUUUGUCACUUGUACCAGCUAACGCAUCUGGGAGGCAACAAAACAAUACUCUCCUGAGUGUGCUUUGUGUAUUGGAGGUAAUACUGGAAUUGCAUGGAAUUCCUACUGCUGCUCCAGUAACCUGCUGAUUUUGUCACGUGUACCAGAUUCGUUGUCUGGCAAUGAGAACAAUACACUUCAGAGGUUAAUGUGGACCAAAAA